GAUGAACGCUAGCGGGAGGCCUAACACAUGCAAGCCGAGCGGUAUUGUUUCUUCGGAAAUGAGAGAGCGGCGUACGGGUGCGGAACACGUGUGCAACCUGCCUUUAUCUGGGGGAUAGCCUUUCGAAAGGAAGAUUAAUACUCCAUAAUAUAUUGAACGGCAUCGUUUAAUAUUGAAAGCUCCGGCGGAUAGAGAUGGGCACGCGCAAGAUUAGCUAGUUGGUGAGGUAACGGCUCACCAAGGCGAUGAUCUUUAGGGGGCCUGAGAGGGUGAUCCCCCACACUGGUACUGAGACACGGACCAGACUCCUACGGGAGGCAGCAGUGAGGAAUAUUGGUCAAUGGGUGCAAGCCUGAACCAGCCAUCCCGCGUGAAGGACGACUGCCCUAUGGGUUGUAAACUUCUUUUGUAUAGGGAUAAACCUACCCUCGUGAGGGUAGCUGAAGGUACUAUACGAAUAAGCCC
rnacentral:rRNA from 1 species